rnacentral:rRNA from 1 species
UACGUAGGGGGCGAGCGUUGUCCGGAUUUAUUGGGCGUAAAGAGCGUGUAGGCGGUCUGGCAGGUCUGCUGUGAAAACUCGAGGCUCAACCUCGAGAUGUCGGCGGAAACCGUCUGGCUAGAGUCCGGAAGAGGAGAGUGGAAUUCCUGGUGUAGCGGUGAAAUGCGCAGAUAUCAGGAAGAACACCUAUGGCGAAGGCAGCUCUCUGGGACGGUACUGACGCUGAGACGCGAAAGCGUGGGGAGCGAACAGG